rnacentral:rRNA from 1 species
UACAGAGGGUGCAAGCGUUAAUCGGAAUUACUGGGCGUAAAGCGCGCGUAGGCGGCUAAUUAAGUCGGGUGUGAAAACACCGGGCUUAACUCGGUGCUGGCUUUCGAUACGGGCAGACUAGAGGUAUUCAGGGGAGAACGGAAUUCCUGGUGUAGCGGUGAAAUGCGCAGAUAUCAGGAGGAACACCAAUUGCGAAGGCAGCUCGCUGGGACGUUACUGACGCUGAGACGCGAAAGCGUGGGGAGCAAACAGG